AGACUGGUGAGCACAUGCUUUGAGAGUGACGCAAUUCCAACAUGGUUACGGAAGGGGCCGAGGAUGCCUGCCGGUCAGGGCUGAGCUGGAACAGAGUUCUUUCAAGGGCCCGACUCUUUUAGCAGGAACUCUGGUAGCUCAGGCAGGCCUCAAAUAGCAAGAAGCAGACGAUAACUUGAAAUCCUAACCCUCCUGCCUCCACCUUCUAACUACUGGGAGUACCAGGUGUGUGUCCAGACAAACCAUGUGCUUCCGUGCUAACAUACUUUUUAAAAUCAGAGUUGGAGGAAACUGUUUAUGAAGUAUGGCCAUUUAAGCAGAAUCGUUGACUAGUGGCAAACAUCCUAUAUGCCACCUUUCAAAAAAACAAGACCCAGAUGUAGAACUCUCAGCAGCUCCUCCAGCCCACGUCUGCCUGCACAAUGCCAUGCCUCCUGUCAUGACUCAAUGGACUGAUGGACUAAACCUCUGAAACUAUAAUCCAGCCCAAAUUAAAUGCUUUUCUUUAUGAAGCUGUCUCUCCAGUGAAUGGAGUUGCUGAGUGGUUGCAACAGUCCGCACAGCCUGCAGAAUGACUCUCUGCUGCCUUAGAGGGAAAGCAUGCUGAUUUCGGGUGGCCCCACCACAGCUCUUCAUUUCCUGCAUCUCUGAGAACAUCCUUACCUCACUGAACUACUGCUCAGGCUGUCCUGGAACUCUCUCUGUAGAUCAGACUGGCCUUGUACUCACAGAAAUCCACCUGGGACUAAAGCUGGGACAUUAGUGUCCCAUGUGCCACCACUGCCCGUAGAACUUGGAUUCUGAGUUCAUUUUUCUAAUCGUGACUGUUGAGAAAGCUCUUGGAUCAAGCCAAACCAUUGUCCCCUGGUGCACUGCUGGAAACAGUCAUGUUCUUACCUCGUGUUAAGAGGUUGGGUUCACCUGGUGGAGAUUGACACAUGGGUGGUUUCACUAUGAAUUGCUGUCAGAUGUCCCUAGAAAGAACAGAGAUCCUGUUUCUUCUCCUGAGGUGCAGAACAACAUGGAGCCUGGAAACGUGAACGCCCGGAAGGCGGGAACAUCCAGCCAAGCUGGUAAUGGGGCUCCUGGGACAGCCAUGAGACAGCCAUGAGGUGGAUAAGCCAUUGCAUCUUCACUGCUCAUCAUCAAAGGAGGAUGACAACACAUCUACAGAUCUUCCAACAUUGGUGGACUCUGCCUGAGGCCUUCCAUGAAAAGGGGCCAGUACCAUGUAUGGUGCGAAGGACUCUUCCAAUAAACGCCAACCAUUUUUACUGGUAUCACCAGGUAGAACAACAACAACAACGAAAAAGAAAACGAAUACAUUUUUUUUUCAGUUCUGGGGUUGCUACGUGCAUGGUCUAUCAGUGAGCUCCACCCCCAGGCCCCAAACACACAUUCCUUGAUGGCAGAAGGAAGAUGAGCAGUAACUGUCUUUUUAUUUCCUACAAACCCUGAAUCAAGGGGUGAACAUCAGCUGUCCUGCUCACUCAUUUAUGAUGGAUGGAAAUGCCUGGAAAAUAGAUAAACCUAUUAUCCAUUUUAAGUCAGCAUUGAAAGCUUUAGGCCAAGUCAGCUCUUUAGUCUUUGAUGGGUUUUGUUUUUACAUUAACAUCCAUCCAACGAAAGGAGGAAGCACGCAUUGGUCACUGAUGUGUCAGGAGUGGCCAAUAAACAGUGAUAGAGGAUCUUUUGUCUCCUUGCAAUCAACAGUGAAACUCCUCCUCACCAAUGUGCUCGAUAAACAACAUCUGGAGUCAUCUUUCUCCAGAAGGGCUCAUUUCGUGAUGUCUGUUAAAAGUGCUCUUUCUUUCUCUCUCUCUUUCCCUCUCUCUCUCCUUCCUUUUUUCCCUUUCUCUCUCUUAAAGCAUAGUAAC